rnacentral:rRNA from 1 species
CACGUAGGGCGCAAGCGUUGUCCGGAAUUAUUGGGCGUAAAGAGCUCGUAGGCGGUCUGUUGCGUCCGCUGUGAAAACUCGGGGCUUAACCCCGAGCCUGCAGUGGAUACGGGCAGACUAGAGGUAGGUAGGGGAGAAUGGAAUUCCCGGUGUAGCGGUGAAAUGCGUAGAGAUCAGGAAGAACAUCGGUGGCGAAGGCGCUCUGCUGGACCAUAACUGACACUCAGGGACGAAAGCUAGGGGAGCGAAUGGG